CUUAAAUAUAAAUAUGAAACUUUUAGCUUUUCUGAUUCUCAGUCUUUAUAUUGUUUGUGUCUCAACUCAAAAGUUUUCAUAUAAUUAUAGAUAGAAAGAUGCGUUCGAUAUUGUACAAUUAACUACAGACCUGUUUGUGCAACCAAUGGACUAUGCAUAUAUGAGUUUAAAAAUCAGUGUUUAAUGGAUAACAAUAAUUGCGAUAACGUUAAGAACAAAAAGCCAGUAUUCAAAUCGGUUCCCUUGGCGCUAUGCUACAAACCGGACAACCCUUGUCAUCCUGAGGAUAUAUUUUCCGAAUAAAUAUAAAAACUGUACUACUGUACUUAAAUCUGUUUACUUUUCUUAACCAGUAAUAAAAACAUUUCAACACCCA